rnacentral:rRNA from 1 species
CCUACGGGAGGCAGCAGUGGGGAAUCUUGCGCAAUGGGCGAAAGCCUGACGCAGCAACGCCGCGUGGGUGAUGAAGGUCUUCGGAUUGUAAAACCCUGUCGUUAGGGACGAAGACAUGAAUCCUAAUACGAUUCAUGUUUGACGGUACCUAGAAAGGAAGCCCCGGCUAACUCUGUGCCAGCAGCCGCGGUAAUACAGAGGGGGCAAGCGUUAUUCGGAAUUAUUGGGCGUAAAGGGUGCGUAGGCGGUUUUCUAAGUCAGAUGUGUAAUCCCCGAGCUCAACUUGGGAACUGCAUCUGAAACUGGGAGACUAGAGUACUGGAGAGGAUGGUGGAAUUCCACGUGUAGCGGUAAAAUGCGUAGAGAUGUGGAGGAACACCAGUGGCGAAGGCGGCCAUCUGGACAGUAACUGACGCUGAAGCACGAAAGUGUGGGUAGCAAACAGGAUUAGAUACCCUGGUAGUCCACACCGUAAACGAUGAACACUUGGUGUAGUGGGAGUUGACCCCCAUGUGCCGUAGCUAACGCGANAGUGUUCGUCCGUCGGGAGGUACGGUCGCGAGGCGUGAACGUACGAAGUAGUAAGUUAGUACGGCGUGAGACGUUAGCCGACGGACGACGACGAGGGAGGAGG